AGACCGGUUCCUGUACGAUCACAGAAGUUAAGCAACGUCGAGCCUGGUCAGUACAUAGACGGGUGUUCGCUUGGGAAUAUCAGGUGCAGUAAG